rnacentral:rRNA from 1 species
UACGUAGGUGGCAAGCGUUGUCCGGAUUUACUGGGCGUAAAGAGCGCGCAGGCGGUCGACCAAGUCGCGUGUGAAAGCCCCCGGCUCAACUGGGGAGGGUCACGCGAUACUGAUCGACUCGAAGGCAGGAGAGGGUAGUGGAAUUCCCGGUGUAGUGGUGAAAUGCGUAGAGAUCGGCAGGAACACCCAGGGGGAAACCAGGCGACUGGGCAUCUACUGACGCUGAGGUGCGAGAGCGUGGGGAGCGAACCGG